GGCGGAAUAGCUCAGCUGGUUAGAGCGCAACAUUCAUAAUGUUGAGGUCGUAGGUUCAAGCCCUACUUCCGCUA
rnacentral:tRNA from 1 species